AUUGAACGCUGGCGGCAUGCUUUACACAUGCAAGUCGAACGGUAACAGGCCGCAAGGUGCUGACGAGUGGCGAACGGGUGAGUAAUGCAUCGGAACGUGCCCAGUCGUGGGGGAUAACGCAGCGAAAGCUGCGCUAAUACCGCAUACGAUCUAUGGAUGAAAGCGGGGGACCGUAAGGCCUCGCGCGAUUGGAGCGGCCGAAGUCAGAUUAGGUAGUUGGUGGGGUAAAGGCCCACCAAGCCAACGAUCUGGAGCUGGUUUGAGAGGACGAACAGCCACACUGGGACUGAGACACGACCCAGAGUCCUACGGGAGGCAGCAGUGGGGAAUUUUGGACAAUGGGCGCAAGCCUGAUCCAGCAAUGCCGCGUGCAGGAAGAAGGCCUUCGGGUUGUAAACUGCUUUUGUACGGAACGAAACGGUUCUCUCUAAUACAGGGGGCUAAUGACGGUACCGUAAGAAUAAGCACCGGCUAACUACGUGCCAGCCGCCGCGGUAAGAC
rnacentral:rRNA from 1 species